rnacentral:rRNA from 1 species
UACGGAGGGGGCUAGCGUUGUUCGGAUUUACUGGGCGUAAAGCGCGCGUAGGCGGCUUUGCAAGUCAGUGGUGAAAGCCUGGAGCUCAACUCCAGAACUGCAUUUGAAACUGCAUCGCUAGAAUCAUGGAGAGGUUAGUGGAAUUCCGAGUGUAGAGGUGAAAUUCGUAGAUAUUCGGAAGAACACCAGUGGCGAAGGCGACUAGCUGGACAUGUAUUGACGCUGAGGUGCGAAAGCGUGGGGAGCAAACAGG